UGGGGAAUAUUGCGCAAUGGGGGGAACCCUGACGCAGCCAUGCCGCAUGAAUGAAGAAGGCCUUCGGGUUGUAAAGUUCUUUCGGUAUUGAGGAAGGUUGAUGUGUUAAUAGCACAUCAAAUUGACGUUAAAUACAGAAGAAGCACCGGCUAACUCCGUGCCAGCAGCCGCGGUAAUACGGAGGGUGCGAGCGUUAAUCGGAAUAACUGGGCGUAAAGGGCACGCAGGCGGUUAUUUAAGUGAGGUGUGAAAGCCCUGGGCUUAACCUAGGAAUUGCAUUUCAGACUGGGUAACUAGAGUACUUUAGGGAGGGGUAGAAUUCCACGUGUAGCGGUGAAAUGCGUAGAGAUGUGGAGGAAUACCGAAGGCGAAGGCAGCCCCUUGGGAAUGUACUGACGCUCAUGUGCGAAAGCGUGGGGAGCAAACAGGAUUAGAUACCCUGGUAGUCCACGCUGUAAACGCUGUCGAUUUGGGGGUUGGGGUUUAACUCUGGCGCCCGUAGCUAACGUGAUAAAUCGACCGCCUGGGGAGUACGGCCGCAAGGUUA
rnacentral:rRNA from 1 species